GGACGAACGCUGGCGGGCGUGCUUAACACAUGCAAGUCGAGCGGUAAGGCCCUUUCGGGGGUACGACGAGCGGCGAACGGGUGAGUAACACGUGGGUGACCUGCCCUCAGCUCUGGGAUAAGCCUGGGAAACCGGGUCUAAUACUGGAUAUGACUCCAUGACGCAUGUUGGUGGGGUGGAAAGCCUUGUGCGGCUGAGGAUGGGCCCGCGGCCUAUCAGCUUGUUGGUGGGGUGAGGCCUACCAAGGCGACGACGGGUAGCCGGCCUGAGAGGGCGACCGGCCACACUGGGACUGAGACACGGCCCAGACUCCUACGGGAGGCAGCAGUGGGGAAUCUUGCGCAAUGGGCGAAAGCCUGACGCAGCGACGCCGCGUGAGGGAUGACGGCCU
rnacentral:rRNA from 1 species